UACGUAGGGGGCAAGCGUUGUCCGGAUUUAUUGGGCGUAAAGCGCGCGCAGGCGGUCUGCCAAGUUCGGAGUGACAGUUUCCGGCUUAACUGGGAAAGGUCUUCGAAACUGGUAGACUUGAGAACUUGAGGGGAGACGGAAUUCCGGGUGGAGCGGUGAAAUGCGUAGAGAUCCGGAGGAACACCGAAAGCGAAGGCAAGUCUCCUGGCAAGUUUCUGACGCUCAGG
rnacentral:rRNA from 1 species